GACGUCGGUUGCCUUCUACCUCGUGAAAGACAUGGGUAGUGAGAUGUCCUGUACAUCAAAAUUCUCACUACCUUGUCUUUCAUGCGGAUUGGGCACGUGUCA
rnacentral:pre_miRNA from 1 species